AGUGAACGCUGGCGGUAGGCCUAACACAUGCAAGUCGAACGGCAGCACAGUAAGAGCUUGCUCUUACGGGUGGCGAGUGGCGGACGGGUGAGGAAUACAUCGGAAUCUACUUUUUCGUGGGGGAUAACGUAGGGAAACUUACGCUAAUACCGCAUACGACCUACGGGUGAAAGCAGGGGAUCUUCGGACCUUGCGCGAUUGAAUGAGCCGAUGUCGGAUUAGCUAGUUGGCGGGGUAAAGGCCCACCAAGGCGACGAUCCGUAGCUGGUCUGAGAGGAGGAUCGGCCACACUGGAACUGAGCCACGGUCCAGGCUCCUGCGGGAGGCAGCAGUGGGGAAUGUUGGACAAUGGGCGCGAGCCUGAUCCAGCCAUACCGCGUGGGUGAAGGAGGCCUUCGGGUUGUAAAGCCCUUUUGUUGGGAAAGAAAAGCAGCAGGUUAAUACGCCGCUGUUCUGACGGUACCCAAUGAAUAAGCACCGGCUAACUUCGUG
rnacentral:rRNA from 1 species